rnacentral:lncRNA from 1 species
GUGAUUGUUCCUUCCACUUCAGGGGCCUUGGGAGGAUGACCUAAGGCUGCUUUCUCCUGUCCUUACUUCCUCUACCCAGUGCUGUAACUACACAUGCAAUCAGCUGGUUCUUAUAAAGGAUGCUGACCAAUGCUGUGAUGUUGUCUUCAGGAAGCAGGGGGAUCUCCAAACAAGGUAAAAUGAGAAAUGUUGAUUCAUGGAAUGUCAUGAAGACUUGAACACUUAAGACUUGAACACCAUGGGAACUUUAGGGAUGCAGAUGGAUGGUCCGGAAAAACUGAAAUAUCUGGUCAAAACUUCCUGGGGACUCUCUUUCCAAAAGCUCCUGCUUCUGCUUCUCUCUCUGCGAUGGCUCCCUUCUCUUUCCCUGGAGACUGGAUUCUUCUGCAUGGCAAGAAACACUGCUAUCACACUUCCUGAGUCCUACAUCCUGCAACUUCUACUAUGGUUGUACAUCUCAUUGUCAGAGACAUAG